rnacentral:rRNA from 1 species
UGUAAGCGUAUACCAAAGUUGUUGCAGUUAAAACGCUCGUAGUCGGAAUUUGGCAGUUCCGGAUGUGUGCACGUCGUGUGCGCACUUCGCGGGGAUUGCUUUUGUGGUCUUGCGUAGGAUGAGGCACUUUUAUUAGUGAACGUCCUCACGCAACCACUUUUUACUGUGAGAAAAUCAGAGUGCUCAAAGCAGGCAUUUGCCGUGAAUGUAUUAGCAUGGAAUAAUAGAAUAGGACUUGGUUCUAUUUUGUUGGUUUGUUGGGACUGAGUAAUGAUUAAGAGGGACAGUUGGGGGCAUUUGUAUUUCGGUGCUAGAGGUGAAAUUCUUAGCUUACCGAAAGACAAACUGCUGCGAAAGCGUCUGCCAAGGAUGUUUUCAUUGA